rnacentral:rRNA from 1 species
UACAGGAGGUCCCAAGCGUUGUUCGGAUUCAUUGGGCGUAAAGGGUGCGUAGGCGGGUUUUAAGUCAGGGGUGAAAUCCUGGAGCUACAACUCCAAGAACUGCCUUUGAUACUGAAGAUCUUGAGUCCGGGAGAGGUGAGUGGAACUGCGAAGUGUUAGAGGUGAAAUUCGUAGAUAUUCGCAAGAACACCAGUGGCGAAGGCGGCUCACUGGCCCGGUACUGACGCUGAGGUGCGAAAGCGAUGGGGAGCAAACAGGG